CCCUCACCACACUCCCCCGCCCUCCACGGUCCCGCCACUACCACCCGCCAACCGCACGGCACGAUCGCUGCCAGUAAACGCACGAUUCUUCGAUAGAGUGAGUGAGUGAGUGAACGAGCGAACGAGCGAACGAGCGAGUGAGCGAGCGAGCAAGCAAGUGAGAGAGAGAGAAAGAGAGAAAGAGAGAAAGAGAGAGAGAGAGAGACAGAGAGAGACAGAGAGAGAAAGAGAGAGAGUGUACGAGACUACACUGUUGCCAAUGUUCAGCCCUUUACAAACCAACAGUACGAAGAGAAGGAAAAAAAGAAAAAGACAAAAGAAGAAAAACAGGUGUGUCUAUUGGAAGAUCUAGGAUAUCGAUCGUGAUGGUUAAUUUAAUAUCGACUCACGGAACUAUUUGAAAAUAUCAACGCGUAUCGGAUCAUAAAAGAAAAUACGAAGAGGAUGAAGAAGACGACGAAGCCGAUGAAGAUAAAGAAAACGAAGAAGACGAAGAUAAAGAAAACGAAGAAAACGAAGAAGACGAAGAAGAUGAAGAACACGAAGAAGUAAAAGACGAAGACGACGACAAUAAAGAAAACUUGUCACAGUAUCUGCCCCCUCUACCGCUUACUCACUCCCACCGUGUGCGCAUGUAUAUUUAUACACAUAUAUCUUUGUCGUCCUCAUACGCUUUCGAGGAAGCGAAGAGAGAAGUUCGUUGCGAUUCCGGUGGUCGUACGUAAACCUGUUUCUCCAUUAUUUGAUUCUCUUUUAUGUAUUUGUCUAUAUAUAUGUAUGUGAACGACGAUAAACAGUUAAACAAUAGUAACACAUGCAUUGGAACCUCGAUUUCUCGAUAGACUGUAUAUAGUCUUUAUGUUAGUAAAGUUAUUUCUUAAGAAGAGAGAUCUAAGCACGCAUAUAAAUGCUAUAUAUAUGUGGAUAUGUAUAUAUGGAGAUAUGUGAAUAUAUAUAUAUCCACAUAUGUAAUCAAAUAUAUAUGUACAUGUACAUGUACAUGUACAUGUAUGUAUGUAUGUAUGUAUGUAUGUAUGUAUGUAUGUAUGCUUGUAUGUAUGUAUGUAUGUAUGUAUGCUUGUAUGUAUGUAUGUACGUAUAUAUGUAUGAACGUAUAUAUGUAUGUACGUAUAUAUGUAUGUACGUAUAUAUGUAUGUACGUAUAUGUGUAUGUACGUAUAUAUGUAUGUACGUAUAUAUGUAUGUACGUAUAUAUGUAUGUACGUAUAUGUGUAUGUACGAGUGUGUGUGAGCGUGCGCGCGCGCGCGUGUGUGUGUACGUACGUAUGUAUGUACAUAUGUAUGUAUGUAUGUAUGUAUGUAUGUAUGUAUGUAUGUAUGUAUGUAUGUAUGUACGCUUGUAUGUACGUAUGUACGUAUGUACGUAUGUACGUAUGUACGUAUGUACGUAUGUACGCAUGUACGCAUGUACGCAUGUACGCAUGUACGCAUGUGUACACAUGUACGCAUGUGUACACAUGUACGUAUGUGUACGCAUGUACGUAUGUGUACGCAUGUACGUAUGUGUACGAAUGUACGUAUGUGUACGAAUGUACGUAUGUGUACGCAUGUACGUAUGUAUGUAUGUAUGUAUGUAUGUAUAUCUGUCUCAAUCAUUCCCUUCUGUAACCAUUUUCGCAUGUUCUUUUUCUUUCUUUCAUUAAAUCUUUCCUUUUCCAUU